UCUUUGUUGAAGUCCGAGGUGU
rnacentral:siRNA from 1 species